rnacentral:rRNA from 1 species
AGUGAACGCUGGCGGUAGGCCUAACACAUGCAAGUCGAACGGCAGCACAGUAAGAGCUUGCUCUUACGGGUGGCGAGUGGCGGACGGGUGAGGAAUACAUCGGAAUCUACUUUUUCGUGGGGGAUAACGUAGGGAAACUUACGCUAAUACCGCAUACGACCUACGGGUGAAAGCAGGGGAUCUUCGGACCUUGCGCGAUUGAAUGAGCCGAUGUCGGAUUAGCUAGUUGGCGGGGUAAAGGCCCACCAAGGCGACGAUCCGUAGCUGGUCUGAGAGGAUGAUCAGCCACACUGGAAAUUGGACACGGUCCAGACCCCUCCGGGGGGCAACAGUGGGGAAUAUUGGACAAUGGGCGCAAGCCUGAUCCAGCCAUACCGCGUGGGUGAAGAAGGCCUUCGGGUUGUAAAGCCCUUUUGUUGGGAAAGAAAAGCAGCAGGUUAAUACCCCGCUGUUCUGACGGUACCCAAAGAAUAAGCACCGGCUAACUUCGUG